CUCACCAGGAUGUGUGCCCGAGAACUUAAGGGUUACUUUGAUAGAGUAAACAACAGGGGCUUACAACCCCUCACCUCCU
rnacentral:tRNA from 1 species